CCUACGGGAGGCAGCAGUGAGGAAUAUUGGUCAAUGGACGAGAGUCUGAACCAGCCAAGUAGCGUGAAGGAUGACUGCCCUAUGGGUUGUAAACUUCUUUUAUAGAGGAAUAAAACGAGGCACGUGUGCCUUUUUGCAUGUACUUUAUGAAUAAGGAUCGGCUAACUCCAUGCCAGCAGCCGCGGUAAUACGGAGGAUCCGAGCGUUAUCCGGAUUUAGUGGGUUUAAAGGGAGCGUAGAUGGGUUGUUAAGUCAGUUGUGAAAGUUUGCGGCUCAACCGUAAAAUUGCAAUUGAUACUGGCAGGCUGGAGUACAGUUGAGGUAGGCGGAAUUCGUGGUGUAGCGGUGAAAUGCUUAGAUAUCACGAAGAACUCCGAUUGCGAAGGCAGCUUACUAAACUGUAACUGACAUUGAUGCUCGAAAGUGUGGGUAUCAAACAGGAUUAGAUACCCGAGUAGUC
rnacentral:rRNA from 1 species